UACGUAGGGGGCAAGCGUUAUCCGGAUUUACUGGGUGUAAAGGGAGCGUAGACGGUUAUGUAAGUCUGAUGUGAAAACCCGGGGCUCAACCCCGGGACUGCAUUGGAAACUAUGUAACUAGAGUGUCGGAGAGGUAAGUGGAAUUCCUAGUGUAGCGGUGAAAUGCGUAGAUAUUAGGAGGAACACCAGUGGCGAAGGCGGCUUACUGGACGAUGACUGACGUUGAGGCUCGAAAGCGUGGGGAGCAAACAGG
rnacentral:rRNA from 1 species